AUUGAACGCUGGCGGCAUGCCUUACACAUGCAAGUCGAACGGCAGCGCGGACUUCGGUCUGGCGGCGAGUGGCGAACGGGUGAGUAAUACAUCGGAACGUACCCUGUUGUGGGGGAUAACUGGUCGAAAGAUUAGCUAAUACCGCAUACGACCUGAGGGUGAAAGUGGGGGACCGCAAGGCCUCACGCAGCAGGAGCGGCCGAUGUCUGAUUAGCUAGCUGGUGGGGUAAAGGCCCACCAAGGCGACGAUCAGUAGCUGGUCUGAGAGGACGAUCAGCCACACUGGGACUGAGACACGGCCCAGACUCCUACGGGAGGCAGAAGUGGGGAAUUUUGGACAAUGGGGGCAACCCUGAUCCAGCAAUGCCGCGUGUGUGAAGAAGGCCUUCGGGUUGUAAAGCACUUUUGUCCGGAAAGAAAUCGCGCUGGUUAAUACCUGGCGUGGAUGACGGUACCGGAAGAAUAAGCACCGGCUAACUACGUGCCAGCAGCCGCGGUAA
rnacentral:rRNA from 1 species